rnacentral:rRNA from 1 species
GACGAACGCUGGCGGCGUGCCUAAUACAUGCAAGUUGAGCGAUGAAGAUUGGUGCUUGCACCAAUUUGAAGAGCAGCGAACGGGUGAGUAACGCGUGGGGAAUCUGCCUUUGAGCGGGGGACAACAUUUGGAAACGAAUGCUAAUACCGCAUAACAACUUUAAACAUAAGUUUUAAGUUUGAAAGAUGCAAUUGCAUCACUCAAAGAUGAUCCCGCGUUGUAUUAGCUAGUUGGUGAGGUAAAGGCUCACCAAGGCGAUGAUACAUAGCCGACCUGAGAGGGUGAUCGGCCACAUUGGGACUGAGACACGGCCCAAACUCCUGCGGGAGGCAGCAGUAGGGAAUCUUCGGCAAUGGACGAAAGUCUGACCGAGCAACGCCGCGUGAGUGAAGAAGGUUUUCGGAUCGUAAAACUCUGUUGGUAGAGAAGAACGUUGGUGAGAGUGGAAAGCUCAUCAAGUGACGGUAACUACCCAGAAAGGGACGGCUAACUACGUA